UGGGGAAUAUUGGACAAUGGGGGCAACCCUGAUCCAGCCAUGCCGCGUGAGUGAUGAAGGCCUUAGGGUUGUAAAGCUCUUUCGGGUGGGACGAUGAUGACGGUACCACCAGAAGAAGCCCCGGCUAACUUCGUGCCAGCAGCCGCGGUAAUACGAAGGGGGCUAGCGUUGUUCGGAAUGACUGGGCGUAAAGCGCACGUAGGCGGCCUGUUUAGUAAGGGGUGAAAUCCCGGGGCUUAACCCCGGAACUGCCUUUGAUACUGGCAGGCUUGAGCCCGGAAGAGGGUGGCGGAAGACCCAGUGUAGAGGUGAAAUUCGUAGAUAUUGGGUAGAACACCGGUGGCGAAGGCGGCCACCUGGUCCGGUGCUGACGCUGAGGUGCGAAAGCGUGGGGAGCAAACA
rnacentral:rRNA from 1 species